GGCAAGAUGGCCGAGUGGUCUAAGGUACGUUGGAUCGAGAUGUAUUGUGUGGUACUCUGGCUAAUCAGAUGGAUACAGGCGCCGUGUUUAGGUCUUCGCUCUGUGUGAGCGUGGGUUUGAAUGUUUCCGCGGUCUUCACGGGCGUGGGUUCGAAUCCCACUCUUGUCA
rfam:Talaromyces stipitatus ATCC 10500 scf_1105507295527 genomic scaffold, whole genome shotgun sequence.